rnacentral:rRNA from 1 species
UACGAAGGGGGCUAGCGUUGCUCGGAAUUACUGGGCGUAAAGCGUGCGUAGGCGGUUCGCUGUGUCCGAUGUGAAAGCCCCGGGCUUAACCUGGGAAUGGCACUGGAAACUGGCGGGCUUGAGUGUGGCAGAGGGGGGUGGAAUUCCGCGUGUAGCAGUGAAAUGCGUAGAGAUGCGGAGGAACACCGAUGGCGAAGGCAGCCCCCUGGGUUAACACUGACGCUCAGGCACGAAAGCGUGGGGAGCAAACAGG